rnacentral:rRNA from 1 species
UGGGGAAUCUUGCACAAUGGGCGAAAGCCUGAUGCAGCGAUUCCGCGUGGAGGAUGACGCAUUACGGUGUGUAAACUCCUUUUUUGGUGGAAGACGAAUGACGGUACACCAAGAAUAAGGGACGGCUAACUACGUGCCAGCAGCCGCGGUAAUACGUAGGUCCCAAGCGUUAUCCGGAUUUACUGGGCGUAAAGUGUCCGUAGCCUGAUAUAUAAGUCAGUUUUCAAAUACUUCGACUCAAUCGAAGAAAGGGAAUAGAUACUGUAUAUCUAGAGAUUAUUAGAGGUUAGUGGAAUUUCCGGUGGAGCGGUGAAAUGCGUUGAUAUCGGAAAGAACUCCAAAAGCGAAAGCAGCUAACUAUAGUAAAUCUGACGGUGAGGGACGAAAGUUUGGGGAGCAAACGGG